rnacentral:rRNA from 1 species
GGGGAAUAUUGCGCAAUGGGGGCAACCCUGACGCAGCCAUGCCGCGUGAAUGAAGAAGGCCUUCGGGUUGUAAAGUUCUUUCGGUAGCGAGGAAGGCAUUUAGUUUAAUAAACUAGGUGAUUGACGUUAACUACAGAAGAAGCACCGGCUAACUCCGUGCCAGCAGCCGCGGUAAUACGGAGGGUGCGAGCGUUAAUCGGAAUAACUGGGCGUAAAGGGCACGCAGGCGGUGACUUAAGUGAGGUGUGAAAGCCCCGGGCUUAACCUGGGAAUUGCAUUUCAUACUGGGUCGCUAGAGUACUUUAGGGAGGGGUAGAAUUCCACGUGUAGCGGUGAAAUGCGUAGAGAUGUGGAGGAAUACCGAAGGCGAAGGCAGCCCCUUGGGAAUGUACUGACGCUCAUGUGCGAAAGCGUGGGGAGCAAACAGGAUUAGAUACCCUGGUAGUCCACGCUGUAAACGAUGUCGAUUUGGGGGUUGAGCUUUGAGUUUGGCGCCCGUAGCUAACGUGAUAAAUCGACCGCCUGGGGAGUACGGCCGCAAGGUUA